CAGAUCCGUGUACUAGCUAUAGUGGAGUGGAUAGAAGACGUUAAAAGAUGGCCAAAUAUAAAGUGGCCAGAUACAUAUAUACGUAUAUAAGUAUAUUAUAUUAGUGCAACCAAACGCAACAACCAGACAUUUUGAUCCUGGUGAACCGUUUUAAUAAACUUUCUGAGUUACUUGCUAACACGUUAGAACCACUGGGGAAUAACACCACUUCCGUUGCCGAAAUGCGAGCGCUAUUUGAUCACGUGGGCUGUAAAAGGGUCUCACAAGGUGAUGUCACAGUAGAAGUGGCGCUAUUAUGGAAAUGUUCGAGUGUGAAUUAUUUUUGUCACUGUGAGAGGGCUAAAUAAGACCGCGCGAGUUACAGAAGAUUCGUGGGUUUUAGUUCGGCGUUGAUUUGAUUCAGUUCGGGUUGCUUUUGGUGUGUUUUUGCGUGUCUUCAUUAGUCAUGAAAAAUACAGACGACCAAAUAAGCCCGCUGCGGUUAGCCAGUCAUUCUUGGCGGGCUAAUCAUCGCGCGGUUUUUAUUUGGUCUUUAUAAUUGGUUGGCCGUCUUUUUUUCGGACGUCGUCAUGCCCCCGUUGGGCCGUCCGAGAGCAGCAGCAUUUCGCGCUGUUCUCGGGGCGAGGGGGCAAAGGCCAACAUCAUCCGGGAGCGGUGAACCGGAUGGUUCCUGCGGACAACACAGCGAGCGUGCACCGAUGCCAGCUGAUGGCCGGUUCAUCGUGUCGCUCACCCAAACACCGCGGCGGAGACCUAUGGACACUUCUGGACAAUAUACUGGAAGAAAGAAUGACUCCUCAAAAGCGUCCCACUUGUAGUUCACAGCCAAGUGUGACACGUUUUGAGGAGUUCACACCAGGGUGGAUGUUGCACUAACUAUCUGACUGACUGUCCUUUGGUUGUGUCCAAAAAUCUAUAAAGAUGAAAGCUAGGGGAAUCUGUUUUGGCCAACCUAAGAUUCCUCAGGCUCUGGACCCCGACAAGAUUAUGAAAUCUGUUAAAAUCUCACAGGUUCAAAUUUGAUCAUAACUAGUGCCAAUUUCAAGUUAAAAAAUAGUUUAUUUCCAGCAGACUGUUACUCAGACAUGUAACACGCAGAUCUAACGCUCCACCCGUACGUCCCCUCAUAUGUCCGGUUCCUGCCCGGGUUACACGACGACCCCUGAGUCAUCGUGUCGCUCAUAUAUCACAGGCACUUAUUACACCAGAAGUGCCUGUGAGUAGUAGAGCAGUAUCCAGCGACGUGUCCUCUAGACCUUCACUGUCAGAGGAAAUCUGUUCUGCCCAUCCUGAGCUUCCUCUGACUCGGCCUGAACAUGAGGGUCGUGUUGCAUCCGGUCAGCAGGUCCAGCUCUCGCCUGGUCGGCGGGUCCAAAUCUCGCCGGCUUGUGUUAUAUGCAUGCAUUAAAUCUCUGUUUGUUUUAUUUACAAAAAAGUAACAAGGGCACAGUUAAGAAGAUGAAGGGUGGUCAUGUAGCUCAGUAAGUUUAGCAAAAUCUCAGUUUUAAGGUUGUUUGUAAUAUGAAGCCUACGGUUAGUGUUUGAAUGUUUGCAGAAUCAGGUCUUGACAAUAUAUUUUUAGACCUUCAUCUUGUCAAGCCCAGCCCAAAACUGAGUGGAGGUCCAUCAAGCGCUGUGCUAAUUCACAGCUGAGUGAAUCAGAUCUAACACAGGAGAUGAAGCAGGAUCGAAAAAGGGCGAGAACCUGUCCUGCAGACGGUUCUCUAGCUCAACCUUCAUCCGCUCAUCUCCUUUCGUCACCUGGGCCUUCACCUCCUGCUGCUGCUGUCUCAGAGGUAGAAAUUUACCAGGACCCUAAACAUAUCUACUGCCAAUUUAUAUUAAUUUGCAGAAAAAAAAAUAAAGAGAAGAGGAGGAAAAGAAAAAGGCGGGUGGCCAAUUCUGUAGACAUUCAUCUAUAGUCCAGGCCGCACCGCCGCAGACUCCUCCUGCUGCUGUCUCACAGCCUUCUUCAAUGAGCAGUGAAAUAGACAGCCUGCAGCCCAAACUGUUUGUUUUAUCAGUCAAAACAAAAAAAUAAAGUUGCAGAGCAGCAGCAAGCUUCCAUGAAGCACACACCCCCACCCAAAAAAAUACAAAUUAAAUAUCAUUUAAACACCUGAAACUUGAGAUUAACAACUUUUUAAAACUGAGAUUUGGGUCGGGUUUUCAUACUUUGAUUACUGGGUCAGCUGGAUUUCAUUGUCAUUGAUUUUCUUUGAUCUAUUUGGUUCUCAGAAUCUCAUCCUGUUGUUAAACUAACAAAUUUAAGUGUUAAAACCUGUCCGGCCGAUGCUUAGUUCACUUAAAAUGAUAGCUUUGUUAUUGUGAUAGGGGAAGUCUGUUACAGCGGUGUCUUCUACAUGUUUAUAAGAGCAAACUGUUGAGGAUGGUGGGAUAUGAAAAGCUUUUUUGAAUAUGUAAACUUAAUUUUUCGUUUUUUAAAGACAUAACAUUUCACAUUAUUGUCUUCCUGUGGUUCCCAAAUGGCCAUAGACUGACAGCUGUUCUGUAUAACUGUAUGUAACUGUAUAACCUCCAACAAUAAAGACGGUUCAAAGAAAGAAAGGAAGAAGGGUUAUACAGUGAAUUAUUAACACGUUUUGUUUGUUGAUUUAUAUGCAUUAGUUUUAAAUGUUUCAUUUUAUUACAUUUUUAACUGUUUUGUCAAUAGUGACCUCGAACCAAACACCCAUCUAUUUUACUGUAAAACCUGUGCUAACAGCAGCCUUCAAGCUAACAUCAGCUUGUUUUGUCUGCAUGUCUCAUCCUUUUGUGGACAGUCAUGAAGAGACUGACAGACCCAGCUCCGGUUCAGUGUGAUGCUUAGCCAUAGACUGCAUCCCAUGAUCUGUUGCCAAUGAAUUUGACAGACUAAAACGCAUAUUUGAGCUGCCAUCAUUUUGUACUAAAAUAUCUCAACAUAUAUCAGUGCCAUUGUAUUGUCGCAAUAUGCACACCAGUAUAAUCUUUUACACGGUUUAAUUCUUCUUUAGUUCAUCCUGAAGCUCACAAGCAUGAUGCUGACAUUUGCAAGUUUUUAUUUAAACUGUAUCAGUUAUAUUUUUGACUAAAAUGAUAUUUAGUUUUGGUCAUAUUUUUGUCAAGUAAUUACAUGUAAGAACAUUUUGUUUGAUUUAAGGGGCAGUUUUCCGGAGAUGAAGAAAACCACCUUUUAAUCCUCAAUUGAGCCCUAGGGUCUAUAUGACCCCAAUCGCCAUUUAUUAGUUAAAAAAGUGGUUCCUUAAUCUCAGAUAAAUACAAUUUUGUGACUUAUCCUACAUUAUCUAUCUAUACAAACACAAAAAACGGGGCUUGAUUUGGGAAUUUGACCCCAAUUGAAUAUUAAUGGGAAAUGCAAAAACAUUUUAUUUUACAUUUUUCCAAAAAUAUCAAUAAAUCCAGCAUAAAUCCCUCUCAUGCACACACUCUCUCACACAUUAUUAUAAUUAUUAUUUUUUACCCAUGUUUCAUUAAAAUCAAUAAUAUGAAAAACUACAAUCUGACUCGUGAGUCUUGAUGUUCAGGUGUGAAAUUAAAUUCUUAAUUUCCAUUAAAUUGAAUGGCUUUCUAUGGCCCUCUGCUGGUGUCAAAGCAUUUCUUUCUUAAACGGUAAUUUCUUUAGGUUUAUCUCGAAACAGCAAAAGGUGGAAUUCUACACCUAACACCUAGAUCAAAUAUCCAAAAACCAUUUAAACUAAAUUUAGGUAAUCAUUUAAAUGAUUCUUUCAUAAAAAUCUAUAUUUCACAUGCAAGCUAAUGGUGUAGUUGAGGAUUUUUGUGGUAAAUGGUCUCGGUCUCAAGACCACUUUUUAAAGGUCUUGGUCUCGUCUUGGAAUCGAACGCAUUUUUACUCGGUCUCGUCUUGGUCUCAGACAAAGAGGACU